rnacentral:tRNA from 1 species
AAUUUUAUAGUUAAAAAAUAUAAUAUUAAAUUGCAAAUUUAAAGAUAUAAAAAUUUUAUUAAAAUUU